AAGACUAUAGACCUGCGGAGUACCUGCGGAGGGAUCAUUACAGGAGCUUUAAACACUCCCAAACCCUUUGUCAAAUCUACCUUUGUUGCUUCGGCAGGCAGCCCCAGGGCGGGGCUGUAGCCUUAUAGGUGCCUGCCGAAGGUAUUUUAUAAACUCGUCAUUGUGUAGUGUCUGAGUAUAAAACAAAUGAAUCAAAACUUUCAACAAUGGAUCUCU
rnacentral:misc_RNA from 1 species